CUUUUAUCAAAAGUAAAAACUUUUAGUCAUCACAUUGUGCUAGUCUUGCUUUCACCUCUAAAAUUAAAUAGUAGUGACAGCUGACUGGUUCUUCACAUCUGAACCAAGUUCCUCCUCUUUGCCAAGAUUGAAAUAAGAUGCAACAUUGAAAUAAGACCUCAGUGAAAUUAAAUUAAACAUUAUAAACAAACACAAACACUCAGCAAGAAAGCCUACAUUAAAAAGAAGAGACACAACAUAAGAACAACAUGGACUGUUAAACCUUUAUAUCAUAUAAGUGUAUUAUCCAAAAGUCUAUGAUUAUUAUGUUAUUGGUUUAAAAUUAAAACAUAUCAACAUCAUGAAUUUAAGUAUAGAAAUGCUGUUCAGUUGAUCUAAACCAUGAGAAUAAUUAAAAUAUCACAUGCUCCAGCAAACCAACAAAACAAUUGAAGGACAACAUGUUGCUAUUUUCCACUAGGACUGAGAUGCAUCAUCAUAAACCAUAUAGAAUAACAUGACCAAAUCCAGCCGGACAGUUCAGCUGAGUCUUCAGUAAAGAUACUAUAUAAAUGACAACCUCUGAUUGCAGCACAGUUGCCCAUCAAAAGUCGAAUCCUGAACUUGACAGCUGCAAUUUCUAUCUGAGCAUAAUAAAAGUGAAGUACAAUCCCACAUGUUGACUGUUGUCUGUAAAUUUAUAUAUAAAUCAAGCAAAAUUCUAAGCAGCUAAUAAAUGUUAACAUAUAAAUCUAGAGAGUCUAGAGCAAGUCAUAAACAUUUUUACUUUUUAUUUAUUUAUUUCAAAAGUACAGUGAAUUGAAAAAAGCAGUGUACUUACUGAGAAAUCUUACAGUAAUGUCAUGAUAGGUCAAAUAAGUCUACACCGUUGCCUGGAUGUGUAACCUAAACUUAAUAAUAAAAACAUGAGCUCUCACUGUG
rnacentral:lncRNA from 1 species